AGCGAACGCUGGCGGCAGGCCUAAUACAUGCAAGUCGAACGGCUCUUCGGAGCAGUGGCGGACGGGGGAGUAACGCGUGGGAAUGUGCCCUUAGGUACGGAACAACACAGGGACACUUGUGCUAAUACCAUAUGUGCCCUUCGGGGUAAAGCUUUAUCGACUUUGGAGCAGCCAGCGUUGGAUUAGGUAAUUGGUGAGGUAAAGGCUAUCCAAGCCGACGAUCCAUAGCUGGUCUGAGAGGAUGACCAGCCACACUGGGACUGAGACACGGCCCAGACUCCUACGGGAGGCAGCAGUAGGGAAUCUUGCGCAAUGGGCGAAAGCCUGACGCAGACAUGCCGCGUGUAUGAUGAAGGUCUUAGGAUUGUAAAAUACUUUCACCGGGGAAGAUAAUGACGGUACCCGGAGAAGAAGCCCCGGCUAACUUCGUGCCAGCCGCCGCGGUAAGAC
rnacentral:rRNA from 1 species